GAAACCUACAACCCAAACAAUUAUAUCUGUUGUUUCAACUCAACCUAAUCCAACCUCCUAAUCCUCGACAGCUAGAGAUUCGUGACAGGUGUGCAUAGGUAAGUUUUUUUUUCCUUUUUUACACACAUAAAUGCAUGAUCCAACCACAACUUUUAGAAAGCUUUAAACUUUAUUUUCUCUCAUCUCUCUCUCUCACUUGUAAUGUGUUGAUUUAAUGGUUUGUAGUGAUGUGUUGAAUUAAUGGUUUGAAAAACAACCUGGGAAAGGAAGAAAAAAGAAAAACUUUGAGUCUCUCUUCUUCUUCUUCUUCUUCUUCUUCUUCUUCCUCUUCUUCUUGAUCUUCUGCUUCUUCUUUCUCUAAUUAUAAUGAAAAGAAAGAGAAAAAGAAAAAAGGAAACCCAAGAGAGUGUGAGAUUUUAUGAGAUGCCCAAACCCCAAAAUCAGUUCUCAAAAUCAAUUUCAUUUCAUCAUCUGGAAGAAAAAGAAAAAACAAUUUGUUUUCCUCAUUCUCCUCAACUGUACUUUUUUUUCUCUCAUCUAAGAAACUUUCCUUUUUUGGGUUUUUUAUUCUCAAUAUUAUCGUUAUUAUUAUUCUGUUUCUGUUGUUUGGUUUUUCCAAUAAGCAUUUUUAUUUUAUACCCACUGUUUCAUCUGCUUCUUCAUGAUCGGAUAGCUAAGAAUUAGAAGAACAAGCAAAAGUAAGUGAUUCAUGAAGACAGAGAUGAAGCAAAAGAAAAAAGAAAAAAAGAAGUUUGCUUUUUAUGUUUGUUUGUUUGUUUUUCUUUCUUUACCCUAAACCCUAAUUAAUAAAAACUUCCAUAAGGGUAUGUUAGAAUUUUAAGAGAAUUUUUGCCUCUUUUGGCAUUUUUCCUUAUCUGGGUUUACAGAUUUUUUUUCUGAUUUGAUUUGACCCUUUACAAAAGGGAUUUUUGUUCUUCUUAUUAUUAUUUUCUUAUUGUUGAAUAAUAAUAAUAAUAAUAAGAAGAAGAAGAAGAAGAAGAAGGAUUAACUAAAGGUGAAUUAAAAUUGAGGGGAAUGGUGUUAGUAAAAUUAGAAGUUGACAGAAGAGAGUGAGCACACAGAGGCUUUUGGUAUAAUAAUAUGCCAUUGCUCUUGUGUGCUCACUUCUCUUUCUGUCAGUUUCCCUUGCCAAUUCCUUUCCCUUUUUUCAACAAUUCUUUACCCUUUUUUUCUUAAGUUUUGAUGUAAACUUUAAUUCUUCUUUUAUAUACUUUUAUCAUUAUAUCUUUGUAUUUUUCUAAAGGAUUUUGUUCUGUAAUUUCACAUUCUCAAUUCCAGGUAAUUUUCUCUCUUCUUUCUCUCUCUCUCUCUCUCUCUCUCUCUCUCUCUCUUAUUAUUGUUAUUAUAGUUCAUGGGAUAAUAUAUUAAAAUUGAGAUGGGUUUUCAUAUCUUGUGUUGUAAAAGGGUUUCCCCCCUUUAUUUUCAUAUAUAUCAUUUGGAAUUCUCUAUUAAAGAAAAAGGAAGGUAGGAAGAAAAAGGGGGGUUUUCUUUUUCCCCCUUAGUUAUUUCUUCUAUUAAUUGAUUGAGUUUGAUUCAUUAUUUGUAGAUUUAUUGACUCAUGAAUUUGCCAUCUUUUUUCUUCCAUUAUUGUUCUUUUUGAGCUCUAAAACAGAAAUCAAUGGAGGAGGAUCUGCAAAAGAGAGCCACAAGAUUACUAUUGUUGUUGUUAUCAUUAUUCAUUUAUGCAGAUUUUUCUUUUAUCAACAAGGAAAAAAAUGAUGAGGAAAUUAUGGAAUUUUUCAAAAUGACUGGUGGCUCUAUUCGUUGGUCUUGAAAGGGAAUGAUUGAAUAGCUGAAAUCUCUCUGAGGCACAUAUCUACUCAAAUUAGAAAAGAAAAUAGUAAUUCACUUCAUUUAUUUGGCAGCUUGGCGAAGAGAUCGAGAGCUGCUCAAAUUUACAAAAUAUGAUCUAACAAUGAGAUAAUAUAACUGAUUACUUUUUCUUGAUCCACACUUCUAUACAUACUAGAUGAGCAGACCCCGAGUAAUGGAUGGAACUCAGCCGAUCGGCUUGAAGUUGCUCCCCUGUCAACAAGGCUGAGAUCAAAGGAGAUAGGAAUUAGCACAUCGAAUGGUAGAAUCACACAACAAAAACACAGGUUCCACGAAUAAAAGUUACGAAGGGGUCAAGCAUCUGAUGUAAUGCAAGGGUAUUGUGUUGAGAAUUCGACUGACAAAAUGCUUGGCUUCUGGUAGAAAAAAGUUGUUGGCUGAUGCUGCCAAUGUGUUUAGGUUGAAACUCUUGCUCUUAACUUCAGAAAGAUCAUUACUUUUUGGACUUCCACUCUCAGAUAAGUAGCAGUUUGAACAUACAUUGAUGUAGAAGCAAUAGACAAUAAAAUGUAAGCCUGUGCAUUCUGUUAAUGAUCAUAAAAUGUCAAAAUAUCUGUAACGACCCAUAGAAGAUCGGUUCUAAUUAAUCAAAAAACAAUAAUUUCCAAUCAACAA